CGUACACUCCUGCGGGAGGCAGCAGUGGGGAAUAUUGGACAAUGGGCGCAAGCCUGAUCCAGCCAUGCCGCGUGAGUGAUGAAGGCCCUAGGGUUGUAAAGCUCUUUCACCGGUGAAGAUAAUGACGGUAACCGGAGAAGAAGCCCCGGCUAACUUCGUGCCGGCAGCCGCGGUAAUACGAAGGGGGCUAGCGUUGUUCGGAUUUACUGGGCGUAAAGCGCACGUAGGCGGACUAUUAAGUCAGGGGUGAAAUCCCGGGGCUCAACCCCGGAACUGCCUUUGAUACUGGUAGUCUUGAGUUCGAGAGAGGUGAGUGGAAUUCCGAGUGUAGAGGUGAAAUUCGUAGAUAUUCGGAGGAACACCAGUGGCGAAGGCGGCUCACUGGCUCGAUACUGACGCUGAGGUGCGAAAGCGUGGGGAGCAAACAGGAUUAGAAACCCUGGUAGUCCCA
rnacentral:rRNA from 1 species